CAGUAGCCGCGGUAAUACGUAGGUGGCAAGCGUUUUCCGGAAUUAUUGGGCGUAAAGCGCGCGCAGGUGGUUUAAUAAGUCUGAUGUGAAAGCCCACGGCUCAACCGUGGAGGGUCAUUGGAAACUGUUAAACUUGAGUGCAGGAGAGAAAAGUGGAAUUCCUAGUGUAGCGGUGAAAUGCGUAGAGAUUAGGAGGAACACCAGUGGCGAAGGCGGCUUUUUGGCCUGUAACUGACACUGAGGCGCGAAAGCGUGGGGAGCAAACAGGAUUAGAUACCCCGGUAGUCCCUGUCUCUUAUAC
rnacentral:rRNA from 1 species